rnacentral:rRNA from 1 species
CGACCGGCGCACGGGUGAGUAACGCGUAUGCAACCUGCCCGUUUCAGCGGGAUAACCCGGAGAAAUCCGGCCUAAUACCGCAUGUGGCCGAGGGGGAGGCAUCUUCUUUCGGCCAAAGGAGGCGACUCCGGAGACGGAUGGGCAUGCGUGACAUUAGCUAGUUGGCGGGGUAACGGCCCACCAAGGCGACGAUGUCUAGGGGUUCUGAGAGGAAGGUCCCCCACACUGGUACUGAGACACGGACCAGACUCCUACGGAAGGCAGCAG